ACUUGCUGGUUUGUGGAGCUGUUGGAGGACCUGCAGCACCAGAGCCUGGGGGAGACGCUGGCUUGUCCCUGGCUGGCUCUCAUCCUAGUUUUGCUGGCCUGACUGCUGAUGAAAAAGGUGGGCAUUCGGCCUGAGUGGAGGAAGCUGUGCGGUUUGGGGGAGCAGAGAGAAACGCACUGCAUCUGCUCUGUGUUUUGCAGUGCUGUGGGAAAACCUCUGCGGAGGAAUGCCCUGAAAUGGGCUUCUGUGUCCAGGUGCUGCAAGACAAACCUUUGGGUCUCGCCGCCUUGACCCAGGCACUCUCGGCGCGGGGUCUGUACGUGAGCGGUGCGUUGCCCUCUGACGUACCCUGCAGAAGGCUCGGUGCGUGGUGAGUGGAAAGCAAACAGCCUGGAUCCAAUUUAACAGCAGGAGCUGAGGGAAGCAGCCCAGGGCUCUCCAGCCCAGACCCAAAGAACCCAGACUCUCCAAAUCCAGGGUCUGGCUCUCCUUGGCAUAGCUGCAGAGGGUGCUCUCUGCUCGCAUGGCUCCCGUCCACCCCGACUGCUCCUGUCCUGGCUGCUCUGUGCAAAGCCUCCCCAAGGUGCCCUUUCCGAUCUCACUCCCACUGCCAGCAACUGGCUUUCAAUUAAAUCCAGCUCAGGUCAGCUUUUGACAAGCAGCCUCCCUUGUAACUCGAGGAGGUUACCAGCCAGCAGAUUCUUGAAAUGCAUCUUAAAAAGAGAAAGCCUUGGGCUGGGAGCCAAGAUAAUUUUACUUUUUUUUUUUUCUUUCUCCCCCUUCCUUCUCUGUAGCGACUUUUUCUGCAGAGCUGUGGCUCGGAUGGGAGGUUGUGGGCACCAAGAGGUGAUAGGGUGUGCAUAAUGUUAAUUAGCUGUUGUACCUGCAGCACUUCCAACAUGUAAACCCCUGAUAGACCCAGUUGUCAUAAUUAAUAACCACAGAAAUAGCAAAAGGGCUCUUAGACCUUGUGCUGGGGGAUAUAAGCCAAUUUCUAAGUACUAGAAACCAGGAAGAGGCUUGAGUGAGGGCAGGUUGUCCUCUGUGUUUGCAAAGGGUUUCUUGCAUCCUCCUGAAGCAGCCAGAACACGAUGCUCUGUGGUUCAGGAUGCGGGAUACAGCUGCUCUCAAAUAUGAGCUCUUCUGAUGGUGCUUCUGCAUUUAUCUCUGUGUCAAUAAUUAUAAUUGUUCUCCAUUAAUAAGAAGGUGCUUGGUGCUGUACAGCACAGAUGGAAGAUGUGUUUUUAGUUUCAUAAUUGAGGCCUCUGUAGCGUAUUGCAUACAAAGCAAAAGGAAAGGAAUGAAGUGAUGUUGUUUGAAGCACUAAAAGUGAGCAGCCCCGUUCUCCUGUUGCCGUGGGGCAUAAACCAGGAAUUGCUGAUGUGGUGGGAGAAGAGCUUCAGCAAAGAGUCAGCAGGAGCUGCUGUCCCUGCUUGAAUAGCGGAGGAGGCUGCAGGUCCUGGGUUCAGGGUCAGCUUGCAUGGGAAACCAGUGAUCCAGAGGAACUGGGAGAACUGUGGGGCUGACCUUCUCUCCCCUGGGAAAGACUGGAUUUUGGAGCAAAUCCUCCUAGCUGUGGAGGAGAGAUGUUUGGAGAGGGGGGAGUGUAAGAAGAACACAGGAAGGGAUUGGGACAUGUUGUGGCCUUGGUGGGAAAUUCGUGGCCACCUGGUAAGGGACUGGUGGACAGGAUGCUGCUCUGGAUGUGCUUUUGAGGAUGAGGUUGAUCCCAGAAACUUCCCUUGCAGUUUGUGGGGUGGCAGCUUCAUCCUUUUGGUUCAGGAAGGUGAGUAAGAGCCUCCGAGUAUUAUCCUCCAAGGAUAUUGUGUGGAAUGGAAGGCACGUUGUGAUAUUUUUGCAUUUAAGUGAUUCAUCAGAAGCCUGGCUGGUGGGGGGUUGUGUGUGACCUCAACAGCACCUUCACCCUCCCAGCAUGACUGCACAGGCAGCCAGCCUCGGAGCAAGGAAGUUACGUUGUCCAUGCUGGGCCUUGGAUGCAGGAGCGGGGGGGUCCCACUUACCUGCCCUGCUUUGGGGUGGGGAUGUGUCACAGCUGCACAGUGGGUAUCAGUCCUGGCCCCGGGGUCGCCGGCUGCCCGUAGGGCACGGUGCCUCCGCAGAGCUCCUGACCUCCUUUGCAAAGCACCUGCAGAUGAGUGGGUGGAAAUAAGCAGGUGCAAAGAGCCCGAGGGGAGCGGAGGAAGCCUUUUCUAGCUGGCAAUAAAGUUCUGAACGUGGCAGCGUCUCUCCUCCCCAAGGCAUCGUUUUUCCACCCACCAAGCUAGACCUGUAGCUGGGGCAGCCCGCAGCCAGGGUUAGCCGAGCGCACAGCAUUCUUCUUGUCCCCUGCUAAGGCUGGUUUGUAGGAGCACUUGCUGGCAGAGUUUAUUGCUCUGUUGGGCACGUACAGCUGCUCACCUGCAUCUGGCUUCCCCCUUAUCCAUUGGAGAGACAAUUCCAGCCUCUGUAAUUAAUGAGUCUCUCCUGCCAGGGUCUUGGGUGAAGCAUCAACAGAGGAAAUUGGCCAGGCUAAGUGGUGUCUGUGCUUGGAUCUUGGCUGCAAAGGCAGACCUUAGCCAGCUGAGAUGAAUUGUGGCUUGGUUGCUGAAUUCAUUUUUCAUCCUUAGGUCGGAAGGCAGACACGGGAAUAGCUCCUGUGCAGUCUGAGCUGCACACUUACCGCUCUCCUCCUCUGCUUGGGGCCUCGUUUUCUGCAAACAACCCACACGCUGAUGGAGAAGGACUAAGGCUUGUUGCUCACCCUGGACAUUGGUUCUGAGAUGCUGUCAGGCUCCCAAGCACAGCGAUGGUGUGCACCAUGGCCAUCGUUUCAGAAAAAGCCAAUUUAUUUAGCUUGUAGUGAAGCAGAAGAUUAAACAUGCAUCAGGCUGCUUAUUGUUUAAGGGAGACUCCUGUUCCCGUACCCCUGUGCUCACUUAUUGCAUCCUUUUGUAGGAGUCUGGGUUCUGGCCGAAUCCUCACUGCUGCCAUUGGGGUCAACUGUGAAACCCUUCUCUCCAGCUGGCUGCUGCUGUGCAGCGCAGACAUGUUGCAGGAGCACUAGAGAGCUGAAUAAAUGACUGUUGAGUUGAAUUGCUGAUUCUUUGGAGCCGUGUCCGUACAACCUGGGCCCUGGCUUUCCGAAUGCUGUUGCAAUGCAAAUCAUGAUGUUAAUGUGAAACGGCAUGUCCUGUUGUGUAGAGCGGUGCUGUGGAUCAGUGGGGGAAAAUGAAUGUGCCCUUUAGCUUUGCAUCACUCGGAGGUGUUCGUGGACUGUGUGGAUGGGGGACUUCUGCUCUCUCCCUAGCCAAGAGUUUGCAGAUCAGCAGCAAGGUCCAAAAGCAUGGAGAAAUCACAGCUGAUGAGAAUUGCUGGCAAAGAAAAUCCAGAAUCCAUCCAGGUGGGGUGUCUGCUUUACCUUCACCUGUUGUGUUUGGUUUGGAAGGGAGUAGGGGUAAACCGUGCUGGCCAGAAUGGGACACACCGGGUGGUAGCAGGCAGCUCAGGACAUGGCUCUUAGGCAGAGCAGGCAGAUGGCCAGUGCUACCUCCCCCUUCCUGCCGCUGCUCCAGGAGGUGCUCUGGGAGAAAGGGUAGGGCUGGUUUUGGCCUGCUUUUUUCUCCCCAAAGCCAAAUACUCUUCGAAAUGCUGUGCACAGUCCAGCAUGAGGUCAGAUUGUAGUCUGGCUGGCAGCACAGGUUGUGCGUGGCUGCACGGCGUUGCUUGAGAGUGACACCAGUAACAACAGGGCAUCCCUGUUCCCUAGCAGCAGAAAACAGCAGUAGACUUGUGCCUGUAGAGAAAACAAGCAAAAACUCCCAUGGUGGACUCAGGGUGAUGAAUGUACGGGUUACCUUCCUGCUUUCCUCUCUCUCCUCUACUUUCUCUGCCUCUCGUCUGCCUCCCCCAUCACCUUAUCUCUUUUGUCCUUGCUCCUUCCUUCCCCUGUAGCUACUGCUUGGUGGGUAGCUGUGCUCACAUCUAUCUCAGAGGUCCAGCAGUGUCGCCUCGUGCCAUGUCCGUGUGUGGUACAGAUGAGGCAGUCUAGUGAGCUGAGCUUUGAGCUCUGAAUUUCUAAUCCUGGCUCCCUUGCUGGCCUUAGACAGAUGCCUUAGAGUAGGUCUUAGCUUCCUUAUCCGCAGGAUGGGACCAUUGCUAAAAUAGCCCACCUCUGGGGCAGCAUGAGGUGUGCUUGGUGGAUCAGGUUCAAGGAAAACCAGUUGAAAAUUAAUUACUCAGACUUGCUGGCCAGCAACAUACAGCUUCAGUAGCUAGCUCUUCCCUGGGCUGGGAACGAUCCCUGCAGGAACAGCCCUGCUUCAGGGCUGCAGUAGGACACACUGGGGGGCAGGCAGGGCUUCCAGAUGUGAUGCCUGCCUUCAGGCAGCCCAAAUAAACUGCCUUGCACCCAGGAGGGGACUGUGUGUCUGCUACUUCCCUGCUGCUCGAGGGGCAGCUGGGUGCAGGUGAUGCUGCUGGAAGCGCUCGGUUAUUUUUGGAGGCUGCGUAAGGUAAGUGGGGAGCAUCUGCCUUUUUCGCAGAAGCUGAGUGGAGAGGCUGGCCUGCCAGUCAGAGCCAGAUCCCAAAAAUCUGCGGGCAUUAAAACCAAUCCUUCACCUUACCAGGACAUCUUUGGAGGUGCUGCCUGUUCCCUGGCCCUGGGAAGAGCUGGGCUCCUGCGCCCUAUUGCAAGAGCAGCUGAGAGGAGUUUGGCCCCAGGGAGAGGCUGUGGUGGUGCUGGGGACACUGGGGACAAGCCGCCUCUACCUACAGUUUCUUCUGCCCUGGGUGCCUGACUUUUAAGGUGCUUACAUUUGCUGUUGGCAAAUAAGGAUAUUUUGGAGGCUGUUGGAUGGCUGGGCAAGGACUGCAGCAGUUUCCCAUUGCAUUGAUGAAACUCUGCCAGCCCACCGUGAGGGAAGGAGCAGAUCUGCUCGAGUCCCCCGAGGAGGAAAGAUGCUGAGUGCGUUCAAACAGGGAGUGGGUUUAAGCCUGUGCAGGCGUGAGAGAGAAAGUGCAUUUUGCAGAAGUAGCUUUUCUUGGCAUUGCAGUUCAUCUUGUUAAUAAAUCUCUUGUAACACCUCCCUGCAGAGCCCCUCAAGAAACCGGCUAACCAGGAGAAAGUCGAGAUCAAAGAUAAGCCUCCUAAUCCAUUAUCAGCAAAUGCAAUCAGACUCUCCAUCUGCUAUCAAAAGCCCCUGCAACCCGACAACUGGGAGCCAGCCAUCGGCUGCCUGCCUGCACAGAUGCUUGGUCACCACCGUGCCUUCGCUGCCUCUCUCUAGAUUCAGUCUAGUGUCAUCUUAGAUUAGUGGGCUUGUGUUCAAAGUCUGUGCCUCCUCUCAGAAAGAGCCAGGUAGAGCUGAUGGGCUGAAGCACACGCACACACCUUGGCUGAAAAACAAGCGCCGGGUGGUUUAUAGAGCCAUGUUCAAUUUAGUGCUGUGUGCUCCGGUACAGAAAUAAGAGACCUCUCUUGGCCAGGAUUGCUUUUGAGAGUGUCUGCAGAAGGAGGAGAGAGAGAGGUGCUCUUGUGAUGGGUAUUUAUUAAUGACAUGGGUGGGAGUGCUUGGUUUCCUUUCCCCUUCCCUCUGUGUUUGAGCUCAGACCUGUUUGGAGGGGAGCACUGGCAGCCUGGCAGUGUCUGGGGAGCCCUGGGGUGUGCGGCUCCAGCACGUCACGUCUCUGUAGAUGCUCACCAAGGGGACGGUUCUGCCUUGGAGGAAUUCGUGGUCUAAGCUGAGGAUCCUAUUUUGCAGACAGGGCACAAAGAUGCUACCUGACUUCUCAAUGGCAUCUGAGCACGGAGCUGAGAUUUGCAGGCAGGGCUGUGGUGUGCAGCAUUGCCUUUGCUACACGACCAUCUUUCCUGCCCUCCUGCUCCUCAGGUUGGUCAUCACAGAACCCCAGACUGCCUGAGGUUGGAAAAGACUUCUGGAGGUCAUCUGGUCCAAUCCCCUGCUCAAGCAGGGCCGCCUACAGCAGGUUGCCCAGCACUAUGUCCAGUUGGCUUUUGGAUAUCUCCAAGGGUGGAAACUCCACCAUCCUCAGGUGAUCAGCAUAGUCUAUGGCUGACUCCAUGAACAGCAUAGCAAUCUUGCUCGGAGGGCUUGACCCAAACUUUGUGCCCAAGCUGCAGAGGCUUUGCCUCUGUCGGUGGCCCUCAUUUGUCUCGGUGGUAGUGACAGAGCACUAGCGGGACAGUUUGCUGGAGAUCUGUCAUCAGCGCACCAGGGGUACAGCCACGUGGGCAUGUUUUGGUCUGUUCCAACCACAUCACAGUUUUCCCACCAGCCACAUAUUAAGGUUUGGGGACCCACUAACAGUUCCUAGUUUUCUUCUUUCUCUAUUCCUAUUUCCUUUGAAAUAUUCAUUAUUCAGAAUAAAAAUCUGUCCCAGGUAAUUUCAGGAUUCAACCUGCUGCACAAAAUGAGCAAAAGAGCAGAAAUAACAGCAGGUAAAGAAUGGUUUAAUUUAGUAACUGAUUUUCUGUAAAGUAAUUAUUUCUUUAAAAACCUCGGAUUUGCUAAAAGUAUCACAAUUACUUUUUUCAUUAUGGCUACAGAAUGAAGCGCUCGUUUAAUUAGUAAACAUUUGGCAUGCCUUUAAAUAGGUUUUUAAUUACAUUAAAAGGACACUGUCAAGGUGUCUUUCAUCAUUUUUAA